UGUAUAACCGUUUUUAGGCGGGAAUGCAUGAUCACGUGAUGCUAAAUCGGCCUGAAGGAAAAACGCGUUUCUCAUGAAAUUCAAAAUAUGGCAGACUUUUAACUGGUGUAUUCAUCUGUAUUUACCACGGUAAACUACGACACGUCAGUACAGAAGUUGUUAUCCUGGGCUCUUACUUGAGGAAGCUCCAGGCCAAGCAGGGAGACAGACAGUGCAGGACGCAGGAGGGCAGCUGGAAGAUGGAGCACAGGCUGGGCUCCAGGGCCGUGGGGCCGCCUCCAUUGAUCAUCACCACUUUAUGCACCUGCUCCGGAUACUCGUGUGCCAGGAACGUACAGAACGACACCCUGCACAGGAACAAAACAGUGACAAAGGUUUAUCAGUAAAAGCUUGCAGCUUUGACGGAGGAAGUGACACGCUUAUGACAGCUCGACGCUUCCUGUCCUGCAGCCAGAGACACCAGCGAACAGAAGCAGGAUUAGUCAGCGUUAACUCCUCCUCUUCUGUCCUCGCUGGCCCUUCACCUGCUCCAUUUUUCAGAUUACUCAUCUUGAGGGGCAAUGCAUUAUUCAGACUGAAUGCCAGAAGGAUUUUAGCGGUGAUGUAUUAUUAAUCAAAUGUAGAGCAGGUGCAAAACUUAUCUGGCUGUUUUGUGCUGCUUCUUGAUGUAAAAAUAUUCAACCACUUUUAACUAUAAACAAACUGCUAUUAGUCAUUGAGGUCAUAUACAGAGGUCUCCUUAAAAUAUCUGAACAUUAUUGUCAUGUACUGUAUAUAACGAAAUAUCAAAGCAAGUGUUAUUCAUUAUAUGACUUUAUAUGUCCACUAGAAAUCACCAAAACAUUUGAUUAAAAUGAUUAAGUUUGGAGAAGCAGCAUUUGAGAUGCAUAAAGGCACUCUUUGAUUUUUGUAUCUAAUGCAAUGACAUUCUGGCAUUUUUAAGUGUCCAAAUACUGUUUGGGGCAAUUGUAUAUUCAGAUUUACAGUGAUAGUUUUUUUAGGUCUCAUCACAUGAUUUUAAGACUUUCUUGCAAAUAGAAAGACCUUCGGGAAUCCUCUAGAAAUUGCUGUUUUUGUUAGAGCGAUAUAAUUGCCCCGGCAUCUGCAGCGGUGAAAGUGUCGACUUCAGCACCUGCAGGAAAAUCAAUGCCACACGCUGAUUCUGCCAUAGUACAUCUCUAGCUAUUAUGCAAUGAGGUUAGAGCUCAGUUUUAUGUCUGAGAACUUCUGUCGGUCAAACACAGACACACGAUUCAUUUUUCAGUCGGCGAUUCUAAAUUGUUUUUACUCAUCGUGAUUAGAAAAUCUGAAAACUGAAAUUUAGGUUGGUUUCGUGGGUUGAUUUCAGUCAAAAUGAUCAAAUAUUAGCGAAUCAAUCUGCCUGGCAGUAAAAUUCAUCUCAAUUUCUCAGUCUUCAGUUGUACAGAAGCUUUGUGUGAGGAACAGACAAUGACAUAAAAGACGAGGAGGAGGAGCUACAGAAGAAGUACAAGCAUUUUGAGAGUGAGCAGAUGACAGAUUUUUCAUAAUUGGCUGAACUAAUUCUUUAAAAAAAAUCAGAUUCAACAUUGAGUGAUUUGGAGAUGGGGAGGAGAACAUGGAUGCUGCCAAUUAGCUAAUGAUUCUCCAGCAUCAGCUGCUGUUUACCACAUCUCCGCGGGAACGCUAAUGAGAUGCACAGAGAGAGCAGAAUCAAAAGAACGAUUCACAGAGAGAGGAAAUGUCCUCUAUUUCACUGUGCUACACUCGUACAUACAUUUUGAAUUUUGCAGCUGGAAUAAUAAAAGCAUUAAAGUAACUGUUUACCCCGAAAUUUAAAUGUACUCAUCCUUAGGUCAUCCAAGAUUGUUUCUUCAUUAGAACAG